rnacentral:rRNA from 1 species
UACGAAGGGGGCUAGCGUUGUUCGGAAUUACUGGGCGUAAAGCGUGCGCAGGCGGUUGUGCAAGACAGAUGUGAAAUCCCCCGGGCUUAACCUGGGAAUUGCAUUUGUGACUGCACGGCUAGAGUGUGUCAGAGGGGGGUAGAAUUCCACGUGUAGCAGUGAAAUGCGUAGAUAUGUGGAGGAAUACCGAUGGCGAAGGCAGCCCCCUGGGAUAACACUGACGCUCAUGCACGAAAGCGUGGGGAGCAAACAGG